rnacentral:rRNA from 1 species
UACGUAGGGUGCAAGCGUUAAUCGGAAUUACUGGGCGUAAAGCGUGCGCAGGCGGUUUUGUAAGUCUGACGUGAAAUCCCCGGGCUCAACCUGGGAAUUGCGUUGGAGACUGCAAGGCUAGAAUCUGGCAGAGGGGGGGUAGAAUUCCACGUGUAGCAGUGAAAUGCGUAGAUAUGUGGAGGAACACCGAUGGCGAAGGCAGCCCCCCUGGGUCAAGAUUGACGCUCAUGCACGAAAGCGUGGGGAGCAAACAGG